rnacentral:rRNA from 1 species
UAGAUGUAUAGAGGGCGAUGCCUGCCCAAUGGUUGUAUCUAAAAGCGGCUGAUAAAAGUCGACCUCGUAAGGACAAUUGAAUGGCCGCGGUAACACUGACCGUGAUAAUGUAGCGUAAUCAAUAGCCAAUUAAUUGUUGGCCAGUAUGAAUGGCGCCACGAAGGCCCCACUGUCUUAAGGAAAUUCCCAGUGAAACUGAAUUCGUAGUGAAGAUGCUACGUCCAAUUUGUUAGACGAAAAGACCCCGUUGAGCUUUACUGGAGCACUUAUAUGGCCCCGGCCUUCCCAUGCCUGGGAACCGGCCGAAUUUAAAUGGGCGGCUUAGAUUAUGUGGCAGCCCCCCGCUGGGGCAAAUGAAACACCACUCCCCCAUGUCAAAGGGGCUAACCCCCCCCUUGGGGGGGACAGUGUAAGUAGGACAGUUUGGUUGGGGCGACCCCCUUUUAAAAAGUAACGAAGGUGCGCUUAAGGUGUGCAAUUAAUGACUGAAGCCUGACUGCGAGGGGGGUACCCCGAGCAGACACCCCUAAGCCCGCCCGAAGGGCGGCGGUGGGGUGGGCCAUAGUGACCCGUUAAUUUAGAGUGGAAUAGUUAACGAUCAACGAAUAAAAGUUACCACGGGGAUAACAGCGUAAUAUCGUUAGAGAGUU